CACGUAGGGGGCGAGCGUUGUCCGGAAUCAUUGGGCGUAAAGAGCUCGUAGGCGGCUCGGUAAGUCGGGUGUGAAACCCCCAGGCUCAACCUGGGGACGCCACCCGAUACUGCUGUGGCUAGAGUCCAGUAGGGGAGUGUGGAAUUCCCGGUGUAGCGGUGAAAUGCGCAAAUAUCGGGAGGAACACCAGCGGCGAAGGCGGCACUCUGGGCUAGAACUGACGCUGAGGAGCGAAAGCGUGGGUAGCAAACAGG
rnacentral:rRNA from 1 species